GGCAGGAAGGCUGUUUCCAGGCAAUACAGAAGAGGUUGCCAGUUUGGCCAGGCCUAUGACACGGUAUAUUCUGCAGUCCUGGCCUUGGAGAAUCCAUUGUCCACCUCUGAGCCAGGUUCUAGGAGUAUGAAGAUGCCUGAGGCAUUGAAUGGCUAAUCCAGGCAGUUUGAUGUCCUUGGCUGAGAGCUGGCCUCAGAGUCGGGAAGCCUAAAAGACCUGCCCCUUAGGCACACAGUCUGUGGGUACUCUGGAUUAUGAAAGACUAGGAAACAGACAAACAAACGGCCAAAGGUCUCAGUUUCUCCUUUUCCCUGUUCAAUUCGCCGAGUGCAGAGGGAGCAGGAGCGUCCCCGCGGCAGUGCCUU